rnacentral:rRNA from 1 species
UGGGGAAUCUUGCACAAUGGGCGAAAGCCUGAUGCAGCGACGCCGCGUGGGGGAUGAAGCUUCUCGGAGUGUAAACCCCUUUCGAUCCGGACGAAUACCUCGCAAGAGGGGUGACGGUACGGAUAUAAGAAGCCCCGGCUAACUACGUGCCAGCAGCCGCGGUAAGACGUAGGGGGCCAGCGUUGUUCGGAAUUACUGGGUGUAAAGGGUUCGUAGGCGGUGGGGAAAGUUGGGAGUGAAAUCUCUAGGCUCAACCUAGAGGCUGCUUCCAAAACUGCUCUGCUUGAGUGUGGGAGAGGCGCGUGGAAUUGCAGGUGUAGCGGUGAAAUGCGUAGAUAUCUGCAGGAACACCCGUGGCGAAAGCGGCGCGCUGGACCACUACUGACGCUGAGGAACGAAA